UGCAAUAUUCACAGUGUCAUUAUCAUUAGCAUUUGAAAAGAUAACCACAUAUAAUAAUACCUGAGCAAAAACACAAAUUACAAGAUAUUUAAUGUAAGAAAGUAAACAUGACACAUUUUUGUAAUUUAUUCUGACAGAGCUGUAUAAUCUGUUGUAUUAAUAAUGCAUAGUUAUAAUAAUUGUUAAAAAAUAGUUUUUGUGCAAGUUGCAGGACAGACAACUAAAAUCAAAGGUUUAAAUACAAGACAUCUUCAAAUUCCCGUAACAACCUCGUUUUCAUGUCAUGGUCAUUUUUUAGUCCAUAGAUCACCUCCGGUGAUAAAAGAAAGAUGUGAAAAGCCAUGCUAACUGUUCCUGUUUUUCACUCUCUCAUUUACACACACACACACUCACACCAAUAGACUGUGCAAUUUUCUUCUGCUUUAUAUUAGAGAUAGUCACAUACAGCAUACAGCCAUAAAUUCUCCUCUGUAAUAUCACAGUUCAGUGAAGCUCAGCUGCUGUUCAUCCUUGUCUAGGUCUAGGUCCAUCCUCACUGAUGACACUGAUUUUUCAAACAUGUUUUGCUGAUGGUUCAGACACCAAAGAGACAAAGCCCAGAACUGUUUAAAAAAAUCCACAAACUUUAAAUUGUAAUGAGUAAUGCUACUUAUAAUUAAUGUUGACUUUGCACUGUAGAAAAAUAAUGUGUUCUAGUCUAGUCAACUCAUAUUAUUGCUAAUAAAAACAUGCUGAGUUGAGUGUGUGCAUUAUAGGUGAGUUUAACAGGUCCUCUGUCAUCGACGGAUGAGGGCAGAGACUGAUAAACAGGCUAGGAACAGCAUGAUGGACAAGCUGAUUACCGCGGCCCCACCGCAGUCCUUAGCAUUUUCCUAAAACAGACCAGAGACACAAAAUAUGCACCAGCGACUAUGGAGACAGAUAGUAAUCAAAAGGCAUUGCAUGUCUGAAAGCCGUCUAGUAUGCAUGUGUUUACUUGAGGGUGGUAAGCGUGACAAGACUCAGGCCUUCUUCGCAUCUUCUGAGAUCUCAUGCGGUCACAUUUCACUGAGGCAUUGUAUUUGACCUCUUUGGGCUCCAUGGUGAUGGCCGCGUACUGCCGAGAACAGUCACAGUCUGCCUGAAUCACCACCAACAGCAAGUUACUAUCAGGAAUCUGAUUAAUUACAAACAUCCUGCAGGCAAUAAAAGAAAGAGAGAAAGGAGAG
rnacentral:lncRNA from 1 species